UUUCCGGUUGAUCCUGCCGGACCCGACUGCUAUCGGAGUGGGACUAAGCCAUGCGAGUCCUGCGUCCCCGGCUGCGGGGGCGCGGCGCACGGCUCAGUAACACGUAGUCAACCUGCCCUGGAGACGCGGACAAUCCCGGGAAACUGGGGCUAAUCCGCGAUAGGCCUGGGGUGCUGGAAGGCCCCUAGGCCCAAAGGGGCAGGCGGGCAUGCUCCGUCUGUCCGCUCCAGGAUGGGACUGCGGCCGAUCAGGUUGUUGGUGGGGUAAUGGCCCACCAAGCCUAUAACCGGUACGGGCUCUGAGAGGAGGAGCCCGGAGAUGGGCACUGAGACAAGGGCCCAGGCCCUACGGGGCGCAGCAGGCGCGAAACCUCCACAAUGCGCGAAAGCGCGAUGGGGUCACUCCGAGUGCCGCCCGCUGAGGGCGGCUUUUCCCGGGCCUAAAAAGCCCGGGGAAUAAGGGGAGGGCAAGCCUGGUGUCAGCCGCCGCGGUAAUACCAGCUCCCCGAGUGGUCGGGACGAUUAUUGGGCCUAAAGCAUCCGUAGCCGGCCCGGUAGGUCUCCUGUUAAAUCCAACGGCUCAACCGUUGGGCCGCAGGAGAUACCGCCGGGCUAGGGGGCGGGAGAGGCGGACGGUAUUCCGCGGGUAGGGGUAAAAUCCUCUGAUCCGCGGAGGACCACCAGUGGCGAAGGCGGUCCGCCAGAACGCGCCCGACGGUGAGGGAUGAAAGCUGGGGGAGCGAACCGGAUUAGAUACCCGGGUAGUCCCAGCUGUAAACGAUGCGGGCUAGGUGCUGGAAGGGCUACGGGCCUUUCCAGUGCCGCAGGGAAGCCGUUAAGCCCGCCGCCUGGGGAGUACGGCCGCAAGGCUGAAACUUAAAGGAAUUGGCGGGGGAGCACCACAAGGGGUGAAGCCUGCGGUUCAAUUGGAGUCAACGCCGG
rnacentral:rRNA from 1 species